AGAGUUUGAUCAUGGCUCAGGAUGAACGCUAGCGGCAGGCUUAAUACAUGCAAGUCGUGGGGCAGCAGGGCUGUAGCAAUACAGUCGCUGGCGACCGGCAAACGGGUGCGGAACACGUACACAACCUUCCUUUAAGUGGGGAAUAGCCCGGGGAAACCCGGAUUAAUACCCCGUAACAUAAUGAAGUGGCAUCACUUUAUUAUAAUAGCAGCAAUGCGCUUUGAGAUGGGUGUGCGACUGAUUAGGCAGUUGGCGGGGUAACGGCCCACCAAACCUACGAUCAGUAACUGGUGUGAGAGCACGACCAGUCACACGGGCACUGAGACACGGGCCCGACUCCUACGGGAGGCAGCAGUAAGGAAUAUUGGUCAAUGGACGCAAGUCUGAACCAGCCAUGCCGCGUGGAGGAUGAAGGUCCUCUGGAUUGUAAACUUCUUUUAUCUGGGAAGAAACCCACGAAUUCUUUUGUGGUUGACGGUACCAGAUGAAUAAGCACCGGCUAACUCCGUGCCAGCAGCCGCGGUAAUACGGAGGGUGCAAGCGUUAUCCGGAUUCACUGGGUUUAAAGGGUGCGUAGGUGGGUUGGUAAGUCAGUGGUGAAAUCUCCAGGCUUAACUUGGAAACUGCCAUUGAUACUAUCAAUCUUGAAUACCGUGGAGGUCAGCGGAAUAUGUCAUGUAGCGGUGAAAUGCUUAGAUAUGACAUAGAACACCAAUUGCGAAGGCAGCUGGCUACACGAAUAUUGACACUGAUGCACGAAAGCGUGGGGAUCAAACAGGAUUAGAUACCCUAGUAGUCC
rnacentral:rRNA from 1 species